rnacentral:rRNA from 1 species
CGUGUCGUGAGAUGUUGGGUUAAGUCCCGUAACGAGCGCAACCCUUAUUACUAGUUGCCAGCAUUCAGUUGGGCACUCUAGUGAGACUGCCGGUGACAAACCGGAGGAAGGUGGGGAUGACGUCAAAUCAUCAUGCCCCUUAUGACCUGGGCUACACACGUGCUACAAUGGCGUAUACAACGAGUUGCCAACCCGCGAGGGUGAGCUAAUCUCUUAAAGUACGUCUCAGUUCGGAUUGUAGGCUGCAACUCGCCUACAUGAAGUCGGAAUCGCUAGUAAUCGCGGAUCAGCACGCCGCGGUGAAUACGUUCCCGGGUCUUGUACACACCGCCCGUCACACCAUGAGAGUUUGUAACACCCAAAGCCGGUGGGGUAACCUUCGGGAGCCAGCCGUCUAAGGUGGGACAGAUGAUUAGGGU